rnacentral:misc_RNA from 1 species
AACGCACCUUGCGCCCCUUGGUUAUUCCUUGGGGCAUGCCUGUUUGAGUAUCAUGAACACCUCAACUCUCACGGUCUUCCGUGACGAGCUUGGACUUUGGAGGUUUGCUGGCCCUGCGGCCGGCUCCUCUCAAACAAAUCAGCUUGCCAGUGUUUGGCGGCAUCUCACGGGUGUGAUAACUAUCUACGCUCGCGGUUGUCUGCCAGGUAACCCUCAGCGAUGAAGGUUCAUUGGGGCUCAUAAACGUCUCUCCUCGGCGAGGACAGCUUUUGAACGUUCGAUCUCAAAUCAGGUAGGACUACCCGCUGAACUUAA